rnacentral:rRNA from 1 species
GGCCUUCGGGUUGUAAAGCACUUUCAGUCAGGAGGAAAGGUUAGUAGUUAAUACCUGCUAGCUGUGACGUUACUGACAGAAGAAGCACCCCCUAUAACUCCGUGCCAGCAGCCGCGGUAAUACGGAGGGUGCGAGCGUUAAUCGGAAUUACUGGGCGUAAAGCGUACGCAGGCGGUUUGUUAAGCGAGAUGUGAAAGCCCCGGGCUCAACCUGGGAACUGCAUUUCGAACUGGCAAACUAGAGUGUGAUAGAGGGUGGUAGAAUUUCAGGUGUAGCGGUGAAAUGCGUAGAGAUCUGAAGGAAUACCGAUGGCGAAGGCAGCCACCUGGGUCAACACUGACGCUCAUGUACGAAAGCGUGGGGAGCAAACGGGAUUA